GACGAACGCUGGCGGCGUGCUUAACACAUGCAAGUCGAGCGAUGAAGUUCCUUCGGGAAUGGAUUAGCGGCGGACGGGUGAGUAACACGUGGGUAACCUGCCUCAUAGAGGGGAAUAGCCUUUCGAAAGGAAGAUUAAUACCGCAUAAGAUCGUAGUUUCGCAUGAAACAGCAAUUAAAGGAGUAAUCCGCUAUGAGAUGGACCCGCGUCGCAUUAGCUAGUUGGUGAGGUAACGGCUCACCAAGGCGACGAUGCGUAGCCGACCUGAGAGGGUGAUCGGCCACAUUGGGACUGAGACACGGCCCAGACUCCUACGGGAGGCAGCAGUGGGGAAUAUUGCACAAUGGGGGAAACCCUGAUGCAGCAACGCCGCGUGAGUGAUGACGGUCUUCGGAUUGUAAAACUCUGUCUUCAGGGACGUUAAUGACGGUACCUGAGGAGGAAGCCACGGCUAACUACGUGCCAGCCGCCGCAGUAAUAC
rnacentral:rRNA from 1 species